ensembl:miRNA
AGGCACGACUCUUUCCACAGAAAGUGAGUGGAUUUGUCCUGUGGGUUGGGUUGGGUUGGGUUU